GCAAUUGUUAAAGUUAUUGCUUGCUUUGUACCUAAUUAGUGUCCUUGGAAUUAAAUGAACAGCUCUGUAUACACCUCUAGCUCCUGCAGCCAUGUUUGUGCAUUGAAUAAUUGAUUCUACUCUGCUAAUCAGAUAGGGACAUAAUGAGCCAGUUUAAUUAAAUGGGGAUCUAACCUGGUGAACACUGGGAAAAUAUUUGCUCAUUUACUUAGUAAAAGGCCACAGUUGCUUUUCAUUGGAUGGAAGGGAAGGUUAUGGAAAGUAAAGUAGGCUUUGAAAGCAAAAACAGUUCACUGGCUGUCUAUCCCUAGCAAAUCAGACUACUUGACUAGAAAAAAAAAAAAAAAAAAGAUUUAGUGUCAGCAUCACUGUUCAACUAUGCUCUAAGAGGCAGGUUGCCUGGUCUUACAGCCCUCAGUGAUUUGCAGAAAGAAUUUCAACUCAGUUCAGUUGAGUGUGUAACAGCAAUAAGCUAAAGACUUUGAAGAUAACAUCUGAUCAUUUUCAAACUUUAAAGUGACUACAGCAAUAAUUCUUUAAUGCCAGCUAAAUCUUGGAAAUGGGAAGAUGAUUAUGGUCUCUAAAUGCAAAAGAUUACCCACAUUUUCAAUGACAGCUUAAGUGAAACUUACUGUCUUCAACAUAAUCUGCAAAAGCAAGCACUAGCUAAAUACACAUCUGUAAUUCUAAUUGCACAUCAGAACAACUUUACCUGCAGGGAUAAAGUAGUGUAAGGCCAAUAUAGAAACAACAUGGUGCUCAUCUGCUGUGGUGUACUAGGAUGAAAUAGCAUAUUGACCCUGAAUCCAUACUCUGAGUAAAAGCAAUUGUCAUUCUGCCACUGUAACACCUUGUUGCCAGUGGCGAUGUAAUUAAAGCUGUGAGGACUCAUUUUCCAUUCUUAUCUCUUAAGCUCGUCUGAAUCAGAAACUGUUUGUCUGUGGUAACUGAGAAAACGUACUACAAGGCUACAUGUUUAUGUAUGAAUUUUUGGUAGACUAUUUUUAUGGGGCAGUGAGGGGACAGCUCUAAGCAUUUUAUUUCCACCAUUCAUUCUCCUUCUGUAUGUGUGUAUAUAUAUAUAAAAUAUAACUUGUGUGUGGAGAUAUAUAUGUAAUUUUAUAUAUUUGAUUCAUACACACAUAUAGAGAUAGAUAUAUAGGCACACAAGCGCACACAGUUUAAAUUUUACUCACCCCCUUUUCUCCUCUAUUAAAAUUCCGAAUGGCUAAGAGGAUUUUCUCAAUUUAGUCAUACUUUUAAUCUUCACUGAAAUGAGUGAUGACUUCUUAUAAUAAAAAGUUGACAGGCUUACAUUGCGCACCGGUGGAUUAGUUUCCCUUGGUGAUGAGGUUUUCUUUUGUGCGCCGUGUGUCUGUUUGAUGGAGGUUUAACAGAAAGCAUUUUGGCAGAAAUUGGAUGCAGCAGGGAUCAUCUGGAGAUGGCUGCUGUUCGAUAUUAACUGCACACAGUAACUUUUUUUUUAUUUAUUUUUUAUUCUUCAGCCAGGUGACAGAAGCAACCAAAGCAUGUGUUUUCAUACUGAAAGAGGUAGAAACAUUUUGGGGGGGAUUAUAAAAUCAAAAGUAUGCAUGUGGAAUGCACCUCCUUAAGCAUCAUGUUUAAUUUGCUUUUAGCUAUUGUUUAACAAAAGAGAAAAGUUAGCUAUUCUCUUUAAGAAGUUAUCAGACCUAUGAACAUCUGCAACAUGUACCUUUUUUUCUUAAAUAAAUAAAGCCUUGCAUCCUCAGUGUUUGGGGGGAGGAGGUGGGAAGAAAUACGCAUUUAAACAAGAUACUGAUAUAAAAACUGUGCUUCCUUAGCACAUGUGCAUGGACUGAAUUAUUUUGGAGAAAAUAAGAAAGGCAAAAGAUUUUGCACAGCUUCUAAAAGUUUCCAGCAGGCACAGGAGGGCAUAAACAAAUAUCAAGAGGCAUGCUGAAGUUAUUGAUGUGAUGAAGGCAUGAGACCAUUUCAGUGUUAAUUUGUGACAGAUCAGGUAGUUGUUUUGAGACGCUUGUAUGUACUCUGACACCUGUAUUAGAAUACGGAAUGUAAUUCUGCAACAUCUGCCUGAUUAAUUGAUAAUACUGUAUCAGUAAUUGUGCUGGAAGAAAAAUGUCUGUUUUCAGAAGCCCUGAGUAAGACUGUGUUGUCAAAGAAAGCUGUUCUUUGGGUUUUCUGAACAGAAAGCCUGAAUAAACCAAUGUUUGA